rnacentral:misc_RNA from 1 species
GAUGAAGAACGCAGCGAAAUGCGAUAAGUAAUGUGAAUUGCAGAAUUCAGUGAAUCAUCGAAUCUUUGAAUGCACAUUGCGCCCGCCAGUAUUCUGGCGGGCAUGCCUGUUCGAGCGUCAUUACAACCCUCAGGCCCCCGGGCCUGGCGUUGGGGAUCGGCGGAAGCCCCCUGCGGGCACAACGCCGUCCCCCAAAUACAGUGGCGGUCCCGCCGCAGCUUCCAUUGCGUAGUAGCUAACACCUCGCAACUGGAGAGCGGCGCGGCCACGCCGUAAAACACCCAACUUCUGAAUGUUGACCUCGAAUCAGGUAGGAAUACCCGCUGAACUUAAGCAUAUCAAUAAGCGGAGGA